UUCUGCACUAUAUUAAAGCUCCCCUCUUCUUCAAUUUCAAGCCCGAAGAACCCUAGCUUUCACUUGGCCGCCGUACCCCUUUAGUGCUAUUAGCAUAACAAUACUGGCUGCAUCUUGUCAUUGUUAUUGUGGUUAGGUUCUUGGUCAUGGACAAAAUAUUAGAGAAUCAAAGAGAAGGCAUAACAUGCCGCUGUCUUUGAUGCAAGAGUUGUGUGCACUCACAUCUAAAUUAAGGUAUUAGGUAUUUAACAAAUAAUUAUUUUGGAACAAUCUUCCUUUUGUAUGGUUGUGGUUGUUGAAGGAUUCAUGUGAACAAGGAGGUGAAGUGCAAAUAACAAGGAAAAUGUUAGAUGUUACUUGAUGUAUCUAUAGAAACCAUUGUAGAAGAGAAAACAAAUACAAAGAGGGUUCAGAGCAAGUCAUGUUGUAAUCUUUCGCAUGUCGAAGAAGACACUUCUGUUUCUCAUAAAUCCUUCAGCUAUCCACAACCAUAUCAAUUGUGAGAUUUUAAUGUUCUUACAUAUCAUGUGUUGCAAAAUAAACAAAGCACGAUCUCAAGCUAUUUUUAAAUGCCUAUAGGUUAGUUUGAGCCUGUCUUUUCAUAUAAAUUAUAGUACAUAAUUUUAAUUUUUUCCCACCUUGUUUUUCAACUAAAAACUUUUCCCACCUUAUAAGUACUUGAUUUAUUUCUUUUUUCUGUUUUUGCAAGUGACCCAACUACUGAAACAACAUAAGAUGGUGGUUCUCAUAUCUUUUUGCAAUUUUCUCUCCAAUUUCUUGUGCUGCAGUUCCCAAUGCUCGUCUUUAUAAAAAUUAAUGGGCGCCAUAUUCCUUGAGAAGAGACAUUUAUUAGCCUAUUUGCCAAUAUAACUGUACAGUCUUUUUUAUUUUGAAAUGAUCUGUUGUGGCCAUAAUCUGCAUCAAUGUUCUAAACGAUAACCAACUAUUCUUGUGAUGGUGAUUUCUUACAACAGAAGGCAAACGCUGCAAAGUUAUCUACUACUUUGAUGUGAGAACUCUCUUCUCUAUUCAUGUUGUGUAUAUUAUAAAAAUACAGUAAAAAGGGGAAGAAAUAAGUGAUGUCAAUCUUAUUUCUUUCCUUAAAGUAAUAGAAACGUAAUUAGAAGUCUUAGUUCUGUUGCCAAGAUAAAGCAACCAUGCUAGAUUAGUGAAUGAAUAGACUGUGGGAUUUUCAUUACUAACUGCUUCGACAGGGAAGUGGAAAACAGGACUCAUCUCAAACUGGAAUUGGAGCAAGUCAGGGGACUUUCAGGUGAACCUGAUACUUUGAAAUGCUUUAAUGUAAGAGGAUGUUUUACUGGAAAAUGAUUUGGAAGACAAAGGGCUCAUAUAAAGUAGCUUGCUUUAUACAUGGAGGAGAAUGAACAUUUACUUUUGCAUUGUCCAAUGGCUGCUAGUUGUGACUGUUUCUGCAGAUUGUUUGGGGUAAGAUGGGUGAUGCCCAAAUCACUAAGAGAUCCUUUUCUGCUGCUGUGAAGGAAUGUAUCUUAAGAAAAGAAUUGAAGGGGAUUUGGAGCAGUAUGCUUUGGCACAUGUGUUUUCUGGAACAGAAGGAGCCCGAGAUUUUCCAAUGAAGAUCUAAUGUUUUUGUAAAUUCUUUAAAGUAUUAAGUGUUACCAGUAUGAAUGGUGUAAAUUGCAUUUUGAUAUAUGGCGUGGAUAGCCUGGUGGUUGUUAAACACAAAAACUUACACAGUAUGACACUCUCUGCUUGCUUUUUUUGGUCA